rnacentral:rRNA from 1 species
AUUGAACGCUGGCGGCAUGCUUUACACAUGCAAGUCGAACGGCAGCGCGGGGCAACCUGGCGGCGAGUGGCGAACGGGUGAGUAAUACAUCGGAACGUACCCAGAAGUGGGGGAUAACGUAGCGAAAGUUACGCUAAUACCGCAUACGUUCUACGGAAGAAAGUGGGGGACCUUCGGGCCUCAUGCUUUUGGAGCGGCCGAUGUCUGAUUAGCUAGUUGGUGAGGUAAAGGCUCACCAAGGCGACGAUCAGUAGCUGGUCUGAGAGGACGACCAGCCACACUGGGACUGAGACACGGCCCAGACUCCUACGGGAGGCAGCAGUGGGGAAUUUUGGACAAUGGGCGCAAGCCUGAUCCAGCAAUGCCGCGUGAGUGAAGAAGGCCUUCGGGUUGUAAAGCUCUUUUGUCAGGGAAGAAACGGCUGAGGAUAAUACCUUCGGAUAAUGACGGUACCUGAAGAAUAAGCACCGGCUAACUACGUG